rnacentral:rRNA from 1 species
GACGAACGCUGGCGGCAUGCCUAACACAUGCAAGUCGAACGAGACCUCCCGGCUUAGUGGCGCUGCGGUGCGUAACGACUGGGAACCUACACUUAAGUUCGCUAUCCCUCACUGUAGGGUGUGCUAAUAAAGGAUAAUGUCAUAGGACAUAAGAUUUCUCGCUUUUGGGUGGGGCCGCGUUGGUUUCGCCAGUUGGUAGGGUAAAAGCCUACCAAGGCGACGAUGCAUAGCUGGUCGGUGAAGAGGCUCAGCCAGGCUGGAGCUGAGACACGGCCCAGACUCCUACGCAAGACAGCAGUAUGGUAUACUAUACGAGGAACGCAAGCCUGAUCCAGCCAUGCCGCGUGUGACAGGAAGGCCGUAGGAUUGUAAAGCUCUUUUACCCGAGACGAGAAUGACAGUACCGGGAGAAGAAGCACCGGCUAACUCCGUG